UGUAGGAGGGGUGAGGAGUGGUGGUAUACUGGGAAGUGAGCAGACAGCUUGCCCAGGGGCCAUGCAUGCUGUUUCUCCUCCUGGGGGUGGUUUUUCUCCCCUAAAGGAAUUCUUCCUGGCUAGUUAGGAAAUGAGGAGGGAGCAGAUCCAGAGCCUUUAGACACCUGUCUGUUUCCCCUACCCCAGGCCCAACAGACAGAUGUGAUGGAGAAGACUGAGAUAAAAAACAUGGCCUCCUUAGUGUUAGUAUUCCUAGCCAUUCCCUCAGCUACAUGACUGCACGUGCGCCGUCCAGUAGCCAGGCAAGAUGCUUAGUCAUCCUAGGGCCUUGUGUCCUAUGCAAUCUUCGUGCAGCGUGGUCACGUAAUCUAUGUGCAUGCGUGGUUUAGCUACAUAAACCCAUAUUCGCAUGUGCAGGGGGUGGAGACCUAUGUAAAUGGGUUCCACCUAUUCCUUCCCUUUCUUCCUGCAGGGUCAUUCCGUAGGCCUAUGCACACCCUUUCUAUUCCCUUCCCUUAAUAAACUCUUAUAGUGGGUUGUGUUGUGCCUCGUGGCUUCUCUGGUAUGGUAAACAUUGCUGCUUAAUAAAUAACACUUAGUGACUGACUCACUCCUUCUAGAUUUCCAGAGAAAUCCACACACAAAACAAAUUUACCUAAAGCCACCUCCCUUACUCUGCAUGCAUUCUGGGCCCUGUUGCUAGGAAAGUUCCUGAUUUCCCAGUGGAGAGAGUGGGUGUGCUUUGUGGCGUGCAUGGGAAUGCCUGUAACUUUCCGACAGCUACAAGCCUAAACAGGAGUGACACUCAGAACCAGGGCUGGCAGCACAGCUUCUGGUCUGAUGAAUCAGGGUCACCCAGAGGCACUCAGAACUAAACCCAUUGUGACAAGACCCAGAGUUCCUGAGUGCCGGGUACAUGACAGGACUUUGGACAUAUUGCAGUCCAAUGCCCGUUGCCCCAGACACAGAUCGUGACCUUCGUCUUACUGAUGAGGAGGUCAAGGUCAGCAAGGUUAAACCACUUGCUUCCUUUUCCCAAGAUCAACAGCUAUAGAGACAGAGUUGGAGUUGGAACCAAAACAAAGCCAGGCCCUCUCUCCCUGGUACAGUGAUGCCUGCCUCUGGGCCUGAGCCACAGGAGACAGAGUGGCACGGGCCCAGGCAGCUCCUUGAAGAUCCUCCUCGGGCACAGAAGGCCAUGGUCACUGCAAUCUGCACCUGCCUUCUCUUCUGCUUCUGCCAAGUGCAGCCUCAUGUGACCACUCAGGACCUGGCACAUAGACGCUCUUAACAAAGGAGAAUGGGAUUCAAGUACCAUUAGGUCAUGACAUGAAUGUCUUCACCCUGGUUCUGGACAAAGGUCCUGCAAGUCCCUUGGGGAACACUCACUGAAUCCAAGGAUGACUGCCGCAUGUGCUCAGUUUCAGUCCUGCAGGGUAAGGGGGACAAAGGAUGUGAACAGGUUUCCAGAUCCCGAAGGAGUAGCCAUUAGUGAGCAACACUGCCCUUCUGCCCCCUCCUUAGUCCCAGGUCUUCACAAUCGCUUCUGUUCUCAACUGGCAAUGUAAUCAGGAGGAAGGAGAGACACUCACACUGUCACAGUGUCCUCUCGGACAGAUCGUGACCCCAUCACAUGCUUUGACUCCCAAGCUGCCGAUCUGAGCCAAUAGCGGUGACCCCCUACUUCCCCGGGGAGGGUGAGAGGGGAGUGGGGGUGGGGCAGAAAGGAGCCCUGGGCCCUGGGGAAGAGUGUUCCAUGAACAUGAGACCGUGCAAACCAAUCAACACCAUUCCCCUGCCAAACUGGAAAGCACCAACAUUCCAGUUUCUUCCCCUAAAGCUUUACACACCCGCCUGCAUUUCCCGGGUGCUCUGGGAGAGAAGGGUUUUUAGAAAAUAAUGGAUUUUCUCUUUUGGAGUUAAAAAUCAAUCUAGACAUUAAUUUCUACUUAUUGUUUUUGGAUUGGCAUGUGCCAGUCCAAAGGUGAUAGCCACCACGAAGCUGGAGGAAACCCUGCCUCGCCCUCUCCACCUCCUAGAGAGCCGAGUAUUUGUUUUCCUUUCUCUUAAUCUAAACUAGUCUCUCCCGCAAAGCCCUUUCUAAACAGCUAUUGAUUCCCCCAGCUUGAAUGGCCCAUUAAUAAUGCCGAGUUCUCAGGAGUCCCUUUAAUGCCUCCACUUUGUUUGGGUUGGACUUGCUCCCUGGGGUCCUCUGGGGGAGCCUGCCUUCCUCAAAGGCCAAACUGGUUCUCAGGGUGAUUGGAAUCACAGCCGCACCCCAGUCUGGGUCAAUGUGGGCAAAUGAGCUUGCUGGAAGCUGGCUUGUCCGUGUUGACGUUUGCUCCCAGCAUCUCCCCACAGCCAGUCUGAUUGGUCCCCUGCUCUGCCCUCGGUACACCAGGGGCAGACACCUGCCAAAGGACGACCUGGUGACAAAGAGGAGAGCAGUUAAUGAGACCCGGGGAUGCCUGCACACUCUUUGGGCAGCUCCAGAUGCUCUCUGACGUCUUUCAAGGCCUCUUGUUCCAGCCCCAGAUUUCACUGUGGAGAUGCCUUCCGCAGAGGUUCCUACAAACUGGCCCCUGGUGUAAUGGGACAGAUGCACCAUCUGCCACCAGUCACUGGUUCUCUGAUGAUCCCAACGACACCCCUGCAGCCUGGAAAGCAGGUACCUGUGAGCCUGUAUCUUAUGCUUGAGCUUGGCUCUCUGGGGAGCCCAGGGUAGACCAUCCAUUGUGAGGCUCUCAGUCAUUUGAAAGGGCAGUCUUGAAGGAGAGGCUAUCGCCAGGCAUGGUGGCAAUGUGUCCCCAAUCCUAGCACCGGGGAGGCUGCGGCAGGAAGAUGACCAUGAGCUAUAAGAGCCAGCCUGCCAACAGCAUCCUACUGAAUAUCACAGGAUAUCUGAAUUCCACUCCUCUUCUUCCACCAGCAUCUAUUUGAACAACCCAGACCAUUCCAAGGAUGCAGCGUCUGGAUUGUGAAUAUGCACCAGCUGCCAUGCCUGCAUGGCGUGGGUUGCCUGCCAGCCCGCCACUACACCUGCCCAGCAUGCAUGCAUGUUUCCCUGCAUGCACGGGAUACCCUUGAGGGUCCCCCACACGAUCUAUCACAACACCAGGUAGGUCUGUCUACAACCAUCCCGGUUCUGUGACCAUUUCCCUCAUGUCCCAGGCCCCUUCACAAUCUGAAGAGCCAGCCCUUCCCCUCCCGCCACUGUGAGCUGUUUUCCUAGGAAAAACUAAAGCUGGCUAUUUUAGGGCUUCCAGUGCUGCGAUGAAACACCGUGACCAAAAAGCAAGUUGGGGAGGAAAGGGUUUAUUUGGUUUAUACUAGCCUAUCACCACUGUUCAUCACUGAAGAAGUCAGUUCAGGAACUCAAACAGGGCAGGAACCUGGAGGCAGGAGCUGAUGCAGAGGCCACGGAGGGGCGCUGCUCACUGGCUUGCUCCCCAUGGCUUGCUCAACCUGCUUUCUUAUAGAACCCAGGACCUCCAGCCCAGGGAUGGCCCCGCCCACCAUGGGCUGGGCCCUCCCCCAUUGAUCACUAAUUGAGAAAAUGCCCUACAGCUGGAGCUCAUGGAGGCCUUUCCUCAGCUGAGGCCCCUUCCUCUCUGAUGACUCUAGCUUGUGUCGAGUUGGCACACACACAACCAGCCAGUGCACUACUUAACCAGAACCUGCCAGUUUCUGCUCUCUUCAUUCAUGUCGGUUGUCAUUGCCUCCGCAGACUAUGUGGGUUCUGUGUGGGCAGGCCCUGUCUCGUCUGUGUUGCUCAGGGCUCUUGAAUUGAAGUGUCUGAGAACUAGGUGGCCCCAGACAAGAGACAGUUACUCUCUCACGGUUUUUGAGGCUUGAGGUCAGAAAUCAGAGUGGCUGUAGAGCCUCGCUGUCGUCCCUGA